AUACGGAGGAUCCGAGCGUUAUCCGGAUUUAUUGGGUUUAAAGGGUGCGCAGGCGGCCAUUUAAGUCAGCGGUUAAAUCGUGGGGCUCAACCCCAUUCUGCCGUUGAUACUGGGGGGCUUGAUUGCGGUCGAGGUUUGCGGAAUUCGUUGUGUAGAGGUGAAAUGCAUAGAUAUGACGAAGAACACCGAUUGCGUAGGCAGCUGACCAGACCGCAAAUGACGCUCAUGCACGAAAGUGCGGGGAUCGAACAGGAUUAGAUACCCUGGUAGUCCGCACAGUAAACGAUGAAUACUUGUUUUCGGCGAUAUAAUGUCGGAGGCAAAGCGAAAGCGAUAAGUAUUCCACCUGGGGAGUACGCCGGCAACGGUGAAACUCAAAGGAAUUGACGGGG
rnacentral:rRNA from 1 species